UUAAGUUCAGCGGGUAGUCCUACCUGAUUUGAGAUCAAACAUUCAAAAUAGCCGCCUCCACUGAGGAGAGACAUUUAUAAGCCCCAGCGAACCUUCAUCACUGAAGGUUACCUGGUGGAAAGCCACAAGCGUAGAUAGUUAUCACACCUGUGAUGCCACCAAACACUGGCAAGCUGAUCCAUUUGAGAGGAGCUGACCAU
rnacentral:misc_RNA from 1 species